rnacentral:rRNA from 1 species
UACGGGGGGGGGCAAGCGUUGUUCGGAAUUACUGGGCGUAAAGAGCUCGUAGGCGGUUUGUCGCGUCUGCUGUGAAAACCUAAGGCUCAACCUUGGGCUUGCAGUGGGUACGGGCAGACUAGAGUGCGGUAGGGGGUGACUGGAAUUCCUGGUGUAGCGGUGGAAUGCGCAGAUAUCAGGAGGAACACCGAUGGCGAAGGCAGGUCACUGGGCCGCAACUGACGCU